UACGAAGGGGGCUAGCGUUGCUCGGAAUCACUGGGCGUAAAGGGCGCGUAGGUGGCGCCGCAAGUCCAUGGUGAAAGCUCGAUGCUCAACAUCGAGUCGGCCACGGAGACUGCGGGGCUCGAGCACUGUAGGGGCAGAUGGAAUUCCGGGUGUAGCGGUGGAAUGCGUAGAGAUCCGGAAGAACACCGGUGGCGAAGGCGGUCUGCUGGGCAGUUGCUGACACUGAGGCGCGACAGCGUGGGGAGCAAACAGG
rnacentral:rRNA from 1 species